GGGGGGGGGGGGGGUGCGGUUCUCCUGUUAGUCUGGGAAGUUCCAAUGAACUGUUGAUAGGAAUAUUGUUCAGAGAGCAGAGAAGAAAAUUGGGCAACAUACUGGGCCCUCCUGCCACUUAAACAUGACCAGGUGAGGGGCUGCGGUUUGGAUCUCCUUUGCCUGUAAAAAGAGGCUGAUCUGAAUGGACACCUAAAUUUUCUCUCAGCUCUUGCACAUGUAGUUUUUUGGCAUUCUUUUUUUUUUUUUUUUUGGGUUGAAUGUACAGGAGGUGCAUUUCUGCCUCUAGGGAGUUUGCAGGGCAAGGGGGUGUGAACAUCCAGCUGCUGGGACCAUAAUGGCUGUGGCACUCCUUGCCUUAGCCCGCUAGCUCCAGAAUGUGCAUAUCUCUCCAGCCUGGUGAGAAGAGGGAGGGGGUUGUGGAUCUCCUGGGCAGGCAACCUGGGGAUGGGGCUUUGAUCAAAGGACUGUUGGCUGCCUCCAAGGAAGGCAGACUGCCCCCAUCACUGCCCGUUUUUUUUCUCUUUUUUACCCAGCACCUUCCCUCUCCCCCAUCCUCAGCAGGAGCAGACCCUCUCCUUACCCCAUCUCAGGUGGGAAAAGGACCUGCCAGUCACUUCUUUGGGAUAGGCCUUUCCCUUGCCUCAGUGCUGGGACACUGGUGGGCUGCUAUCUGCAGGUUUGGAGCCUAAAAAUGUUUGAAGGGAAGGGUGGAGGUGGGAGACUUCUCAGCAGGAAUAUCUUUUCUAUUUUCAGAGUGACUUAGACCAUUGGCAGUGGACCUUGGAGGGAAGGCCCUGAUUCUGAACACUUGGGAAGAAUCCUGCAGAGAUUCAAGGUGGGCGUGAGAGGAUGGAUAAAACCUAGAAGUGUUUCUUCAUUCCUUAGUCUAUGACUCAUGGAAGAAGAUAUUAGAACCAAUGUUUUGCAAGACCUUCCCGUGAAAUGGAAAGAACAUCAAUGUUGGCUCCAGUAAGAGGCGUGCACUUAAUUUUGCCUUGCUUCAUCAAUAAUGAUGAGGUUGCAUGGAUUUCCUACUACUCCACAGGGGUGGAGUGAACCAGAAAGAACUGGUCAGCCCUCGACAUUCAGGUGCUAUCGAAUACUAGCCCUAAGGCCAAUGACGCUAACAGAACAAACAUGAAAUUUCCUUUUGUUGCUUAGAAUCAUUGUGGUAGGAUUCCUGAGGCAUCACCUGGACUGCGUCACCUGGACUGUGUCACCUAGCUGGACACAUAGGGGAGCUGGAAGGAUGCCACAUGUGAGGAUUUUGGGGAUCUGUAACACUAUCUGGGUCCCCCAGUAGCUCCCAAAUGAUCCUAUCGUCCAUCUCUUCCCUUCCUGGCUUGAACUUCCCACCAUAAAUUAGAAUUGAAAAAUGCCUUUUGUCAGUCAGCCUUUGUCCUGCAAUGUACACAGUGUUCAGUGAACCUUGUUCUAUUUGAACCAUACAACUGUCCUGCCACAUAGGCAGAGUAGGAGUUAUCAUCUUCACUUUACAAAGGAGGAAAGGGUUCAAACAGAUUAUGGAACUUGGAUGGGGACACGCAGCACAGCCAGGACUAGAAUUCAGGUUGUCUGUCCCUACUGGUUUUGUUUUUUGUUCCCCCGUGAUUUCACAGCUCUUCGGAAAGCUGUUGUCAUCAUGUAAAAGCUCUAUGUGACUGCCCUAUAUUUAUCUUUCCUAACCAAGACACACAGCUUUAAACUGUGAUCCUAAACACACACACACACACACACACACACACAUACACACACUGAAACAAAAUUUCAAAAAGCAAAACUUAACCCUACCACACAGUGUACUC